CAGCAGGAUGGUAGAAGUUGUGUAUAACUGGAGAAGAAUUGUGAGUAUAGAACUGAGACUGAAGAAAGCCAUUCUCUGGAUCAGGAAACUAAACAAACAAACAAACAAACCUCA
rnacentral:lncRNA from 1 species